rnacentral:rRNA from 1 species
UACGUAGGGGGCAAGCGUUGUCCGGAAUCAUUGGGCGUAAAGCGCGUGUAGGCGGUCCGGUAAGUCCGCUGUGAAAGUCGGGGGCUCAACCCUCGGAUGCCGGUGGAUACUGUCGGGCUUGAGUACGGAAGAGGCGAGUGGAAUCCUGGUGUAGCGGUAAAUGCGCAGGAUAUCAGGAGGAACACCAAUUGCGAAGGCAGCUCGCUGGGACGUUACUGCGCUGAGACGCGAAGCGUUGGGGAGC